AGCCAUGCCGCGUGUGUGAAGAAGGCCUUUUGGUUGUAAAGCACUUUAAGCGAGGAGGAGGCUACUUGGAUUAAUACUCUAGGAUAGUGGACGUUACUCGCAGAAUAAGCACCGGCUAACUCUGUGCCAGCAGCCGCGGUAAUACAGAGGGUGCGAGCGUUAAUCGGAUUUACUGGGCGUAAAGCGUGCGUAGGCGGCUUUUUAAGUCGGAUGUGAAAUCCCUGAGCUUAACUUAGGAAUUGCAUUCGAUACUGGGAAGCUAGAGUAUGGGAGAGGAUGGUAGAAUUCCAGGUGUAGCGGUGAAAUGCGUAGAGAUCUGGAGGAAUACCGAUGGCGAAGGCAGCCAUCUGGCCUAAUACUGACGCUGAGGUACGAAAGCAUGGGGAGCAAACAGGAUUAGAUACCCUGGUAGUCCAUGCCGUAAACGAUGUCUACUAGCCGUUGGGGCCUUUGAGGCUUUAGUGGCGCAGCUAACGCGAUAAGUAGACCGCCUGGGGAGUACGGUCGCAAGACUAAAACUCAAAUGAAUUGACGGGGGCCCGCACAAGCGGUGGAGCAUGUGGUUUAAUUCGAUGCAACGCGAAGAACCUUACCUGGUCUUGACAUAGUAAGAACUUUCCAGAGAUGGAUUGGUGCCUUCGGGAACUUACAUACAGGUGCUGCAUGGCUGUCGUCAGCUCGUGUCGUGAGAUGUUGGGUUAAGUCCCGUAACGAGCGCAACCCUUGUCCUUAGUUACCAGCACGUAAUGGUGGGCACUCUAAGGAGACUGCCGGUGACAAACCGGAGGAAGGUGGGGAUGACGUCAAGUCAUCAUGCCCCUUAUGUCCAGGGCUUCACGCAUGCUACAAUGGCUGGUACAGAGAGUGGCGAGCCUGUGAGGGUGAGCGAAUCUCGGAAAGCCGGUCUCAGUUCGGAUUGGGGUCUGCAACUCGACCCCAUGAAGUCGGAGUCGCUAGUAAUCGCAGAUCAGCAACGCUGCGGUGAAUACGUUCCCGGGCCUUGUACA
rnacentral:rRNA from 1 species